CUUAUGAUCAAUCGAUGCACGUAUUCGAUCCGUUAAUCAUCCUCCAAGAUUUGACAAUUUCGGGUGAAUCGGUGAUUGUUAUUGCAAUCAUUUAGUAUCUAGAGAUUUCCUACAGGUCACUCGGGAUAAUUGUGAAGCUUGUUAACUUGUGUUUGGUGUAUCGUUGUGCUCGUCAUCAGGUCCAACAAUAGUGAGCAGGUAGAUGUGAGAAGAUGUGAG